GUGCUUGCUUCAGUACCAUAUAUACUAAAAUUGAAAUGACACAGAGAUUAGUAUGGCCCCUGCACAAGGAUGACAUGCGAAUUUGUGAAGCAUUCAGUUUUUUU